UCAUUUUCUCUCCCGCACCUACCGCUCUUUCUCGUAUCCUCGGUUCCCCAAUGCGCCGCCGCCGCCGCUCGCCGACGUGCAGUCCAACGCAGGCCGCAUCCGCCGCCGCCUCCACGCACUGAGCGAGCUUCUUCUUGGUGCCCUCCACUGGAUCCCUACCCGCACCCCGCCUUUCCGCCCCUGAGCGUGACGCUGCGCCUAACCCUAGCCAUCGGGUUCGUCGCUGUCGCCGCCACGGUACCGCGACGCCCCUCCUCCGAGCCCUCGCACGACGCCCUCCUCCCCAGAAUCCGUCUUCGGCCGAUGCGUGGCGAAGCGGCAGCAGCAGACGCCGAGGCGGCGUGGCACCCGCGCUCGCCGGCGCCGCACGACCUCUCCGACGAAUCCGACUACACCGCCGCCACCUCCGUCUCCUCCUCCAUCCACGCGGCGAUGCGCACCGACAUGACGGACCUAGGGUCGGAGGAGACAUCCAGGAUGGACGUGGUGUACGAGAAGGAGCUUGUCGAUUCCCUCGUUGGCGACGCUCGUGGUCGCCAUCUUCUUCGUCACGCGUGGCUCGGAGUCGCCAACCACGGCAGGGCACUCUUCUCCCCGCGUCCUCCUCCUUCGAAGCAGACUGGCUCAGCUCCUGCCUGCCCUCCGACGCACCCACGUUAAUGGAGAAAGGGAAGUUGUCUGUGCACCAAGAUGCAGUGCGAGUGGUACUUGCGCUGAUUGACAAGAAAGAGCUGGCUCGAGUCCAGGAGCUCAUCGAAUCCAUCAUCGUCCCUUACUGAGAAAUGCAGUUAUGUGAUGGCACCAAGGUGCUUGCCAUAACCUUUGUUUCCUCUUCCUCAGACUCGAACCAAGUGGAAUGCAGUUGAGGUCGAAGAAUGCCAUUGGAGAGACCAGAGGUUGCUGUGGUGGUGCUUGCCGGAGAUCACGGCGAGAUGCUCUGCUGGGAGAGGAGACCUUGCCGGCGAGGUUGGGGACGAGCUGCUGGUUAAAGAUCAUGUAAUGAUUUUGUAAUUUAGAUGCUACUUGCAAAUGUUGGUUCCAUAUCCUAUAAUUUAGAUGCCUGGCUACAAUUUUAAUGCAUGAUCAUGUUACUGUGUUUGAUUAAAAUACCAGCCAAUAUGAUAAUUGCAUAUAUUUGUGCAAGUACUAUGAUUAUUGCUUUGUUUUGAAUAGCGCAUGUAAACAUAAUCAAAGGCAUUGUUGAAAACAGCCUUCAAAUGUAAUAUAAGGCAUCAUUGAAAAGUGUAGUCAAUUUUUUUUA